AACGAACGCUGGCGGCAUGCCUAACACAUGCAAGUCGAACGAGACCUUCGGGUCUAGUGGCGCACGGGUGCGUAACGCGUGGGAAUCUGCCCUUUGCUUCGGAAUAACAGUUAGAAAUGACUGCUAAUACCGGAUGAUGUCUUCGGACCAAAGAUUUAUCGGCAAAGGAUGAGCCCGCGUAGGAUUAGGUAGUUGGUGGGUAAAGGCCUACCAAGCCGACGAUCCUUAGCUGGUCUGAGAGGAUGAUCAGCCACACUGGGACUGAGACACGGCCCAGACUCCUACGGGAGGCAGCAGUGGGGAAUAUUGGACAGUGGGCACAAGCCUGAUCCAGCAAUGCCGCGUGAGUGAUGAAGGCCUUGGUCGUAAAGCUCUUUUACCAGGGAUGAUAAUGACAGUACCUGGAGAAUAAGCUCCGGCUAACUCCGUGCCAGCAGCCGCGGUAAU
rnacentral:rRNA from 1 species